GACGAACGCUGGCGGCGCGCCUAACACAUGCAAGUCGAACGAGCGAGAGAGAGCUUGCUUUCUCGAGCGAGUGGCGAACGGGUGAGUAACGCGUGAGGAACCUGCCUCAAAGAGGGGGACAACAGUUGGAAACGACUGCUAAUACCGCAUAAGCCCACGUCUCGGCAUCGAGCAGGGGGAAAAGGAGCAAUCCGCUUUGAGAUGGCCUCGCGUCCGAUUAGCUAGUUGGUGGGGUAACGGCCCACCAAGGCGACGAUCGGUAGCCGGACCGAGAGGUUGAACGGCCACAUUGGGGCUGAGACGCGGCCCAGACUCCUACGGGAGGCAGGAGUGGGGGAUAUUGCACAAUGGGGGAAACGCUGAUGCAGCGACGACGGGUGGAGGAAGAAGGUCUGCGGAUUGUAAAGUCCUGUUGUUGGGGAAGAUAAUGACGGUACCCAACAAGGAAGUGACGGCUAACUACGUG
rnacentral:rRNA from 1 species